rnacentral:rRNA from 1 species
GAUGAACGCUGGCGGCGUGCCUAAUACAUGCAAGUCGAGCGAACGGACGAGAAGCUUGCUUCUCUGAUGUUAGCGGCGGACGGGUGAGUAACACGUGGAUAACCUACCUAUAAGACUGAGAUAACUUCGGGAAACCGGAGCUAAUACCGGAUAAUAUUUUGAACCGCAUGGUUCAAAAGUGAAAGACGGUCUUGCUGUCACUUAUAGAUGGAUCCGCGCUGCAUUAGCUAGUUGGUAAGGUAACGGCUUACCAAGGCAACGAUGCAUAGCCGACCUGAGAGGGUGAUCGGCCACACUGGAACUGAGACACGGUCCAGACUCCUACGGGAGGCAGCAGUAGGGAAUCUUCCGCAAUGGGCGAAAGCCUGACGGAGCAACACCGCGUGAGUGAUGAAGGUCUUCGGAUCGUAAAACUCUGUUAUUAGGGAAGAACAUAUGUGUAAGUAACUGUGCACAUCUUGACGGUACCUAAUCAGAAAGCCACGGCUAACUACGUG